rnacentral:misc_RNA from 1 species
GUGAAGAACGUAGCGAAAUGCGAUAAGUAAUGUGAAUUGCAGAAUUCAGUGAAUCAUCGAAUCUUUGAACGCACAUUGCGCCCGCCAGCAUUCUGGCGGGCAUGCCUGUUCGAGCGUCAUUUCAACCCUCAAGCUCUGCUUGGUGUUGGGGCCCUACGGUUGACGUAGGCCCUUAAAGGUAGUGGCGGACCCUCUCGGAGCCUCCUUUGCGUAGUAACUAACGUCUCGCAUUGGGAUUCGGAGGGACUCUUGCCGUAAAACCCCCAAAUUUUCUAAUGGUUGACCUCGGAUCAGGUAGGAAUACCCGCUGAACUUAAGCAUAUCAAUAAGCGGAGGA